rnacentral:misc_RNA from 1 species
GAAUCCAUAUAGCCGGCCCCAAAUCUUUGAGAUAAAGACUUAGUUCAGUUGAGUUGAAAGUUCGAUGAUACAAUAUUUUAUACUUUUGAUCAAUGGAUUGAUGUAAACUGCCGUUGGAUCUAUGACUAGCAAGAUGACAGAAUGGCCUAGAUUAGCAAUUAAAUAGGUAUAAUCAGCGAUUCUCGGCCAAUAUAAUUUUACAGAGAAAAAGAAAAGAAAAAACAAUUCAAGCUAGUAUAAAUUGCAGCCUACAUGAAAAGCAUUGUAAGAAGAAG